rnacentral:rRNA from 1 species
CUGGCGGCGCGCCUAACACAUGCAAGUCGAACGAGCGAGAGAGAGCUUGCUUUCUCGAGCGAGUGGCGAACGGGUGAGUAACGCGUGAGGAACCUGCCUCAAAGAGGGGGACAACAGUUGGAAACGACUGCUAAUACCGCAUAAGCCCACGGUGCCGCAUGGCACAGAGGGAAAAGGAGCAAUCCGCUUUAAGAUGGCCUCGCGUCCGAUUAGCUAGUUGGUGAGGUAACGGCCCACCAAGGCGACGAUCGGUAGCCGGACUGAGAGGUUGAACGGCCACAUUGGGACUGAGACACGGCCCAGACUCCUACGGGAGGCAGCAGUGGGGAAUAUUGCACAAUGGGGGAAACCCUGAUGCAGCGACGCCGCGUGGAGGAAGAAGGUCUUCGGAUUGUAAACUCCUGUUGUUGGGGAAGAUAAUGACGGUACCCAACAAGGAAGUGACGGCUAACUACGUGCCAGCAGCCGCGGUAAAACGUAGGUCACAAGCGUUGUCCGGAAUUACUGGGUGUAAAGGGAGCGCAGGCGGGAAGACAAGUUGGAAGUGAAAUCUAUGGGCUCAACCCAUAAACUGCUUUCAAAACUGUUUUUCUUGAGUAGUGCAGAGGUAGGCGGAAUUCCCGGUGUAGCGGUGGAAUGCGUAGAUAUCGGGAGGAACACCAGUGGCGAAGGCGGCCUACUGGGCACCAACUGACGCUGAGGCUCGAAAGUGUGGGUAGCAAACAGGAUUAGAUACCCUGGUAGUCCACACCGUAAACGACAUUAAGGGGUGUUGGAGGAUUGACCCCUUCAGUGCCGCAGUUAACACAAUAAGUAAUCCACCUGGGGAGUACGACCGCAAGGUUGAAACUCAAAGGAAUUGACGGGGGCCCGCACAAGCAGUGGAGUAUGUGGUUUAAUUCGACGCAACGCGAAGAACCUUACCAAGUCUUGACAUCCCUUGACAGGCAUAGAAAUAUGUUUUCUCUUCGGAGCAAGGAGACAGGUGGUGCAUGGUUGUCGUCAGCUCGUGUCGUGAGAUGUUGGGUUAAGUCCCGCAACGAGCGCAACCCUUAUGGUCAGUUACUACGUAAGAGGACUCUGGCCAGACUGCCGUUGACAAAACGGAGGAAGGUGGGGAUGACGUCAAAUCAUCAUGCCCUUUAUGACUUGGGCUACACACGUACUACAAUGGCGUUAAACAAAGAGAAGCAAGACCGCGAGGUGGAGCAAAACUCAGAAACAACGUCCCAGUUCGGACUGCAGGCUGCAACUCGCCUGCACGAAGUCGGAAUUGCUAGUAAUCGUGGAUCAGCAUGCCACGGUGAAUACGUUCCCGGGCCUUGCACA